rnacentral:rRNA from 1 species
CAGCUUGCAUUAUCCAUAUAGCGGAGGAAAAGAAACCAACAGGGAUUCCCCUAGUAACGGCGAGUGAAGCGGGAAGAGCUCAAAUUUGAAAUCGUGCGCGGGUAACCGUGUCAUGAAUUGUAAUUUGAUGAGGUAUGCUUGGUGAACGCCCGGGUUAAAGUCCUUUGGAAAAGGGCAUCAUAGAGGGUGACAAUCCCGUUUAUGGCCUGGUCAGCGGUUUAUCGUGUAAGCUACCUUCAAAGAGUCGGGUUGUUUGGGAAUGCAGCCCUAAGCUGGUGGUAAAUUCCAUCUAAGGCUAAAUAUUCGUGAGAGACCGAUAGCGAACAAGUACCGUGAGGGAAAGUUGAAAAGCACUCUGGAGAGAGAGUCAAACAGCACGUGAAAUUGUUAACAGGGAAACGUUGGGCCCCAGUACGCGCCUCGCGUAAAAUCAACCAUUUCUUCCUAAUGAUGCAGGUUAGGGUGGAGGAGUCGUUAACGCGGCCCUUGCCUUAUUCCUCGUCUGAUGGGGUGGUGCACUUUUGCGUGGGCGGGUCAACAUCGGUUAAGUCCGUCGGAAACUCCUGGGUUGAAUGUUGGCGAUGGCAACUGACCCACUUAUAGCCUCCCUUGAAUGCGAUGGACUUGACCGAGGAGUCGCGGCUCGUGCCCUUGGGCAGACCCCCUAUUCCCUCUGAUCCUGCUUUGGCUGGACAGCUUGCUGACCUGUCUUAGUUGGGUGAAGAUGUGGUGUAGGUAGGGUUCUAACGAGCCUCGGACGUGCGAAGUACC